CGUGAGAUGUUGGGUUAAGUCCCGCAACGAGCGCAACCCCUAUUGUUAGUUGCCAUCAUUAAGUUGGGCACUCUAACGAGACUGCCGGUGAUAAACCGGAGGAAGGUGGGGAUGACGUCAAAUCAUCAUGCCCCUUAUGACCUGGGCUACACACGUGCUACAAUGGAUGGUACAACGAGUCGCGAGACAGUGAUGUUUAGCUAAUCUCUUAAAACCAUUCUCAGUUCGGAUUGUAGGCUGCAACUCGCCUACAUGAAGUCGGAAUCGCUAGUAAUCGCGGAUCAGCACGCCGCGGUGAAUACGUUCCCGGGCCUUGUACACACCGCCCGUCACACCACGGGAGUUGGGAGUACCCGAAGUAGGUUGCCUAACCGCAAGGAGGGCGCUUCCUAAGGUAAGAC
rnacentral:rRNA from 1 species